rnacentral:rRNA from 1 species
UGGGGAAUAUUGGACAAUGGACCAAGAGUCUGAUCCAGCAAUUCUGUGUGCACGAUGACGUUUUUCGGAAUGUAAAGUGCUUUCAGUUGGGAAGAAAAAAAUGACGGUACCAACAGAAGAAGUGACGGCUAAAUACGUGCCAGCAGCCGCGGUAAUACGUAUGUCACGAGCGUUAUCCGGAUUUAUUGGGCGUAAAGCGCGUCUAGGUGGUUAUGUAAGUCUGAUGUGAAAAUGCAGGGCUCAACUCUGUAUUGCGUUGGAAACUGUGUAACUAGAGUACUGGAGAGGUAAGCGGAACUACAAGUGUAGGGGUGAAAUUCGUAGAUAUUUGUAGGAAUGCCGAUGGGGAAGCCAGCUUACUGGACAGAUACUGACGCUGAAGCGCGAAAGCGUGGGUAGCAAACAGGAUUAGAUACCCUGGUAGUCCACGCCGUAAACGAUGAUUACUAGGUGUUGGGGGUCGAACCUCAGCGCCCAAGCAAACGCGAUAAGUAAUCCGCCUGGGGAGUACGUACGCAAGUAUG